AAACGAUUGAAGCCAGUCGUACCUACGGGUAAUCAGCCUUUCGGAAGCGAUUCUGUGGGUUUUGAGGAGCUUCACGGCCCUCAUGGUCUACAUAUUUGUAUCCCUUGGGUGUACUUUCCCGGUGGUUGGUUAACAUCAAUUUCGGUCAUCAUAAAAUGAUGGGAGGAAUGUAGCUUCGAUCUCGGUUGAAGUGUUAUAGCCUCUGGUAG
rnacentral:rRNA from 1 species